rnacentral:rRNA from 1 species
GAUGAACGCUGGAGGCAGGCCUAACACAUGCAAGUCGAGCGGUAGCACAGAGAGCUUGCUCUCGGGUGACGAGCGGCGGACGGGUGAGUAAUGUCUGGGAAACUGCCUGAUGGAGGGGGAUAACUACUGGAAACGGUAGCUAAUACCGCAUAACGUCGCAAGACCAAAGUGGGGGACCUUCGGGCCUCAUGCCAUCAGAUGUGCCCAGAUGGGAUUAGCUAGUAGGUGGGGUAAUGGCUCACCUAGGCGACGAUCCCUAGCUGGUCUGAGAGGAUGACAAGCCACACUGGAACUGAGACACGGUCCAGACUCCUACGGGAGGCAGCGGUGGGGAAUAUUGCACAAUGGGCGCAAGCCUGAUGCAGCCAUGCCGCGUGUAUGAAGAAGGCCUUCGGGUUGUAAAGUACUUUCAGCGAGGAGGAAGGCGUUAAGGUUAAUAACCUUGGCGAUUGACGUUACUCGCAGAAGAAGCACCGGCUAACUCCGUGCCAGCCGCCGCCGUAA